UACGUAGGGGGCGAGCGUUGUCCGGAGUUACUGGGCGUAAAGGGCAUGCAGGCGGUCGGACGCGUUUUGUGUGACAGCGGGUGGCUCAACUGCCCGAGCAUACGAAAGACGGUUUGACUUGAGGGCUCGAGAGGGACACGGAAUUCCGGGUGGAGUGGUGAAAUGCGUAGAUAUCAAGCGGAACACCAGUGGCGAAGGCGAGUCCCUGGACAACUCCUGACACUGAUGCACGAAAGCUAGGGGAGCAAACAGG
rnacentral:rRNA from 1 species